rnacentral:rRNA from 1 species
GACGAACGCUGGCGGCGUGCCUAACACAUGCAAGUCGAACGGAAAGGCUCUGCGCUUGUGGGGUGCUCGAGUGGCGAACGCGUGAGUAUCACGCGCGAAACCUGCACCUGACUUUGGGAUAAAUCCAGGAAACUGGGGCUACUAUCGGAUCGCAGCUCUUGCUGCGUGGUGGGGGUUGGUAAGUGUCGGCGGUGAGGGAUGGACUCGCGGCUUAUCAGCUUGUUGGUGGGGUAGUGGCUUACCAAGGUUUUGACGGGUAGCCGGCCUGAGAGGGUGACCGGCCACAUGGGGACUGAGAUACGGCCCAGACUCCUACGGGAGGCAGCAGUGGGGAAUAUUGCACAGUGGGCGGAAGCCUGAUGCAGCAACGCCGCGUGCGGGAUGACGGCCUUCGGGUUGUAAACCGCUUUCGCCUGUGACGAAGCGUGAGUGACGGUAAUGGGUAAAGAAGCACCGGCUAACUACGUG